rnacentral:sRNA from 1 species
GUCGUGAGAUGUUGGGUUAAGUCCCGCAACGAGCGCAACCCCCGUCGCAUGUUGCCAGCAUUUAGUUGGGGACUCAUGCGAGACUGCCGGUGACAAACCGGAGGAAGGUGGGGAUGACGUCAAGUCAUCAUGCCCCUUAUGUUCAGGGCUACACACGUGCUACAUUGGCGCGUACAGAGGGCUGCGAUACCGCGAGGUGGAGCGAAUCCCUCAAAGCGCGUCUCGGUUCGGAUUGCAGGCUGAAACCCGCCUGCAUGAAGGUGGAGUUGCUAGUAAUCGCGGAUCAGCAUUGCCGCGGUGAAUACGUUCCCGGGCCUUGUACACACCGCCCGUCACACCACGGGAGUGAGCAACACCCGAAGCCGGUGGCCUAACCCUUUUGGGAGGGAGCCGUCGAAGGUGGGGCUCGUGACUGGGGUGAAGUCGUAACAAGGUAGCCGUACCGGAAGGUGCGGCUGGAUCACCUCCUUUCUAGGGAGCCCUCGUGAUGAGGGCACGCACGGCACGGCGCCGACCGUGAACCCGCCGGUCCUUCGGGACCAGCUCCUCCGGGAGCCGUGGCGGGGGGAACGCCGGCCUCCGACCGUGUGGCUAGAACGUCGACCGGACCUGGCCCCGCCAGACUGGCAUCCCGUCAGUCUCGAGCGGGUGCAUGCUGUUGAGUUUUGAGAGACCGAUCGCCCGUCGGCGCGCCCUCGUGCGCGCCGGCCGGUUGUCGCCCAUCUCGGACGGCCCUUGAAAACUGCACAGUAGCCACAUGUCGCCCCUUUUACGAUGAGUCGGGGGCGACACGGGUAUCACCGGCCGGGCUUCCUUUCCGGAGCUCGGCCAGAUCACCGUCAAGAUAGUAAGGGCACAUGGUGGAUGCCUUGGCACCUAGAGUCGAUGAAGGGCGUGAACGGCUGCGAUAAGCCACGGGGAGACGCUGAAUGGUCUUUGAUCCGUGGAUGC